CUAAACAGCUGUGCUUGUAAGGUUAUUUGUAAACAUGGAGGGUAAUACGCGGUCAAUGUUUCUGUUGUUGGUUUCAUUUUUGUUACAAACUUUCGCAUUUAUGCAGCUGCUUUUGACAGAGAGACAACGUGAUAGACGACUACAAACAAAAAUACUUAAUUAUAGGAGAAAAAAUUUUGUCGCUUGCAUCCGAAGGCAGAGGCGAUACCUGCAGCUAAAAAAAAACAGUUAUGUUUACUCAUAUGGCUACACAGAAGUCUGUGCGACGGACAUGGGCCAUUCCGCGUAUACAUGGGAAAGUGUUUUGAACAAUUUUGAUGAAUAUAUGUGGACGGAACACUUUCGCAUGUUGAGAGAUACGUUUGAGUAUGUGCUGCAGCUUGUGAGACCCUCUUAUUUGCUACGAAAAACUACCGGCUGGCGAAAACCGCUGGAACCCCGACUGAGACUCGCAGUUGUGUUGUGGUGGUACGCUACCCCAAGUGAAUACAGGACCAUAUCCUGUUUAUUUGGCCUUGGAAUAUCAACAGUCUGCAUGCUUGUUCGUCAGGUAACAUAUGCUCUGAAGGCGACCCUUUGCAAGCGGUUUAUAUGCAUGCCUCAAGGCCAGCAUCUCCAAAAAACCAUUGAUGGUUUUGUUGCCCGUGGCUACAAGAUGUGUGCAGGUGCCAUUGAUGGAUGCCACAUACCAAUAAUAAAACUUCAUGAGGACCAGGCUUACUGCAACCGUAAAGGAUGGCACUCUAUUGUGUUGCAGGCCUUUGUGGAUCACAAUGUAUGGAUUUACACAAGCUCCAGUCUGGAUCCAGAACACCUGAGAAGCGAUGAUGCUGACCCUCAGAGGACCUCAGAUGAUGCUAACCCUGAAUCAACAAACAGAACUAAGAAUAAUUGCUAAAUCUUUACGGAUGUGUAUGUGGGUUGGCCUGGUCGAACUCAUGAUGCAAGAGUGCUAGCCAACUCUCCCAUAUACCAAAUGGCCAAGGCCCAGGAUGGGUAUUUGUUUCCUCGUGAGAAAUCUAUGGUGGUGAAUGGAGUGGAGGUUCCCAUCCAUCUUAUUGGAGAUGCGACAUACCCCCUUAAAAAAUGGCUAAUGAAAGGGUUCCCAAAUCACCAAAAUCUGACACUCAACCAGUCUCACUACAAUUUCUGCUUGAGUUCAGCUCGAAUGGUCGUAGAAAAUGCCUUCGGUCGCCUCAAAGGUCGCUGGAGAUGUUUACUGAAGCGCAAUGAUGUCGACAUAAAUAUCGUGUCUGAUAUAGUUGUAGCUUGUUACUGACCGAGAGAACAACAGAGUAACUUAUGACGUGCAAGCAGUUCGGAGGGCAUUGGCAACAUUGAUGAGUUAAAGGAAUAGUUAACCCAAAAACUAUUUACUCAACGUCAUGUAAUUGUAAACCUGCAUGAAGUUCUUCUUUCUACUUCUGUAGCAAGAAAAAUAUAUUAUGGAAGUCAAAGGUGCCCAACAGCUGUUUGGUUACCAACAUUAUUCAAAAUAGCUUACUUUGGUUCAGCAGAAGGAAGAACUUCAUGCAGGUUUACAAUUACAUGAGGGUGAGUAAAUGAUGAAUGAAAUAUAAAUAUGACUGUACAUUUUUCCAUUUGAUAACAACUUCCUUUUCAGGGGAAUUUCUUAAGGGGAC